UGUCCUCACCUGUAAAAUGGAAAAAUAAUAACAUGUGAGGUUAAUGUGAGGAAUAAAUAAGAAUCCAGGAAAGCAAUUGGCCCAUCAUGUAAGAGCUACUUUGCCCAUAACCCUAGGGUGCCUUCCCUCCAAACACAAAGCUGUGCACAGAGCAGGUACACAGUGAAGAUCUGCUGUUGUAUAACAGAUCUCUUUAUUGGCUUAUCUCUCCCCCAGCUCACAUAAAUGUUCCAAGAGAGCAGAGAAUUUGAUUGACAACUAUAUUCCCAGCAUCUAGAACAAUGCCUAGAGCAUAGUACGUAAUUAUAAUGAAUGGUGAGUGAUAUUUUACAGAAGGAAAUUCCAAAGUCCUCACAUAACCCAUUUUCCAUAACACAGAACUUAUUUAAACUGGAGCCUAGAACAGUGUUUUUCACAAAAGAUUUUGCUUAUAGCAACCCGUGCUUUAGAAUAGAAUAUUGUAAAGACUUCCAGAUCAGUUAGAUUUGAGUU
rnacentral:lncRNA from 1 species